rnacentral:rRNA from 1 species
AUUGAACGCUGGCGGCAUGCCUUACACAUGCAAGUCGAACGGCAGCACGGGAGCUUGCUCCUGGUGGCGAGUGGCGAACGGGUGAGUAAUACAUCGGAACGUACCCUGAAGUGGGGGAUAACGUAGCGAAAGUUACGCUAAUACCGCAUAUUCUGUGAGCAGGAAAGAGGGGGGAUCGCAAGACCUCUUGCUUUAGGAGCGGCCGAUGUCGGAUUAGCUAGUUGGUGAGGUAAAGGCUCACCAAGGCGACGAUCCGUAGCGGGUCUGAGAGGAUGAUCCGCCACACUGGGACUGAGACACGGCCCAGACUCCUACGGGAGGCAGCAGUGGGGAAUUUUGGACAAUGGGCGCAAGCCUGAUCCAGCCAUGCCGCGUGAGUG